UAUAAUAAAUAAAAAAAAUUUUCAAUAAAUGUUUAUUAAAUUAGUUCAGCCCUGCUUGUAUGUAUAUCUCUUUUUAAAUCGAAGUUCCUUUCGCCGCCCCGAGUUCUCAACGUACUCAUAUUUCUCACCACUUUUGAACUCAUUUCAUAAUAAUAAUAGUAAGCUACUCCACCAAACCAUCACCGCCGCCGCCGUGCUAUCCUCUGUCUAUUGCUACCGAAACAGAUGGACCAAAAGCUGGCAGUAGAGAUAGACCAAAUGCCUCCACGUGGAAUUCACCACAGGCGGGCCCACUCCGACACGACCUUCCGUUUCGACGAUCUUCUCCUCUUCGACCCUUCCGACCUCGAUCUUUCCUCCCUCGACCUCCCGCCUUCCUCCUCCAAUCCAACUCCGCCACCUGUCAUCCCCGUUCCCGCUGAUUCCUCGGACGACUCCUCUUCCAACGGCCACCCCUCUCGCUCCUCGCACACCAACCCUAGGCAUAUCUCUUCCCACCUCCGUAGUCUUUCUGUUGACUCUGACUUCUUCGACGGACUCGGGUUGACUGGACCCGCUAUUUCCGGAGGAGCUGGAGAUGAGAAAUUUGGCGGGAAAGGAGGGGUGGGAGAGAAGAGGGUUCACCAUAGGCAUAGUAACUCGAUGGAUGCGUUGACUACGGCUUCGUUUGAGGCUGAGUGUUUGAUGACCGUUGAUGGCGUUAAGAAGGCUAUGGCUCCUGAUAGACUCGCUGAGCUUGCCCUUAUUGACCCCAAGAGAGCUAAAAGGAUUCUGGCUAACAGGCAAUCCGCGGCGCGUUCAAAGGAGAGGAAGAUUCGAUACACGAGUGAACUGGAGAGGAAGGUUCAGACUCUUCAGACAGAAGCUACCAAUCUCUCCGCGCAGGUCACAAUGUUACAGAGAGACACUACUGGGUUGACUACUGAGAAUAAGGAACUCAAACUACGGAUACAGGCUAUGGAGCAACAAGCGCAGCUUAGAGACGCUUUAAAUGAAGCAUUGAGAGAAGAAGUACAACGGCUCAAGAUAGAAGCUGGUCAAAUAUCAGCUAUGAAUGGAAACCCUUUCAAUAGAGGACUACCUCCUCAAUUUUUACUGCACCAAUCUGCUUCACAUCACUUUUGUGGCCACCAGACCCCACAGCAGCAGCAGCAGCUACAGAUGCCUCAGUCAUCCACCAACGAUGGACAGCCGCAACCUUGCUUCAUGGAUUUUGACCAGAUGGCUUAGUUUCAUGUUGGAAGCUAAUCCUUUGAAAACAUAAGAAAAUUCAUUCAAGGCCUACAACAGCAGGAAAGGUUGGUCAGUUAACCUGGAUGUUGUUUCCAUCCACCAUGACCCUGAAACUUUCCCCUAUCCUCAAAAGUUGGAUCCUUCAGAUUUUAUGUAAGCAAUCAACGGCAGAAGUUUCUUUUCUUCUCAGUUGCAAACUUACUAUUCAAUUACAGGCAACUAUAAAAGCCUUUCAGCUUUCUGGGAUUCGCUAAUGUGCUCUGGAAUGAACCUGGCUAAACCGGAAAUCGGCAUCUUCAUCCAUCACAUGGUCUUCACAUACAAGAGGAGACUUCUGGAGAGAGAUGAUUCUGUGCAGCCAAAAAACAAGUAUCCUAUCAUGGUUGAGCCACUGUGAAACUUUUCAUACUGGGAUCAAGAAUGAAGCAAACAGAUGAAAGGCAGGAAAAAAUGCUAAAAGCAUGAUUGAAUAAAUUCAAGAACAGAAUUUUUUAAGUAAUUGCACAUUGUUUCGAGUGUAUGCAUCUUUGUGAUAUAAACAAGUUCAUUAGUACAUAUAAAGAUGAGCCUCAGCAAAAGAAACGGGAAUCUCGUGAUAAUGCUUUUAACCUGGACACACUUGAAAUUCAGCCUAACAAUGGCAGAUUACAAGGCUAGGACUGGACACACCUGAAAUUCAACCUAGGUCUAGGAGUGAAUAAUGGUAGACGACACGGCA